rnacentral:rRNA from 1 species
UAUACAGCGAAACUGCGAAUGGCUCAUUAUAUAAGUUAUCGUUUAUUUGAUAGUGCCUUACUACUUGGAUAACCGUGGUAAUUCUAGAGCUAAUACAUGCUAAAAACCCCGACUUCGGAAGGGGUGUAUUUAUUAGAUACAAAACCAAUGCCCUUCGGGGCUCUUUGGUGAUUCAUGAUAACUAUACGAAUCGCACGGCCUUGCGCCGGCGAUGGUUCAUUCAAAUUUCUUCCCUAUCAACUUUCGAUGUUUGGGUAUUGGCCAAACAUGGUUGCAACGGGUAACGGAGGGUUAGGGCUCGACCCCGGAGAAGGAGCCUGAGAAACGGCUACUACAUCCAAGGAAGGCAGCAGGCGGGCAAAUUACCCAAUCCCGACUCGGGGAGGUAGUGACAAUAAAUACUGAUACAGGGCCCUUUCGGGCCUUGUAAUUGGAAUGAGUACAAUUUAAAUCCCUUAACGAGGAACAAUUGGAGGGCAAGUCUGGUGCCAGCAGCCGCGGUAAUUCCAGCUCCAAUAGCGUAUAU